rnacentral:rRNA from 1 species
CCUACGGGAGGCAGCAGUGAGGAAUAUUGGUCAAUGGACGAGAGUCUGAACCAGCCAAGUAGCGUGAAGGAUGACUGCCCUAUGGGUUGUAAACUUCUUUUAUAAAGGAAUAAAACGAGGCACGUGUGCCUUUUUGCAUGUACUUUAUGAAUAAGGAUCGGCUAACUCCGUGCCAGCAGCCGCGGUAAUACGGAGGAUCCGAGCGUUAUCCGGCUUUAUUGGGUUUAAAGGGAGCGUAGAUGGGUUGUUAAGUCAGUUGUGAAAGUUUGCGGCUCAACCGUAAAAUUGCAAUUGAUACUGGCAGUCGUGAGUACAGUUGAGGUAAGCGGAAUUCGUGGUGUAGCGGUGAAAUGCUUAGAUAUCACGAAGAACCCCGAUUGCGAAGGCAGCUUACUAAACUGUGACUGACAUUGAUGCUCGAAAGUGUGGGUAUCAAACAGGAUUAGAUACCCGAGUAGUC